GACGAACGCUGGCGGCGUGCUUAACACAUGCAAGUCGAACGGAAAGGCCCUGCUUGCAGGGUACUCGAGUGGCGAACGGGUGAGUAACACGUGGGUGAUCUGCUCUGCACUUCGGGAUAAGCCUGGGAAACUGGGUCUAAUACCGGAUAGGAGCCAUUUUUAGUGUGAUGGUUGGAAAGUUUUUUCGGUGUAGGAUGAGCUCGCGGCCUAUCAGCUUGUUGGUGGGGUAAUGGCCUACCAAGGCGGCGACGGGUAGCCGGCCUGAGAGGGUGGACGGCCACAUUGGGACUGAGAUACGGCCCAGACUCCUACGGGAGGCAGCAGUGGGGAAUAUUGCACAAUGGGCGCAAGCCUGAUGCAGCGACGCCGCGUGGGGGAUGACGGCCUUCGGGUUGUAAACUCCUUUCGCUAGGGACGAAGCUUUUUGUGACGGUACCUAGAUAAGAAGCACCGGCUAACUACGUG
rnacentral:rRNA from 1 species